rnacentral:misc_RNA from 1 species
GAUGAAGAACGUAGCGAAACGCGAUAAGUAAUGUGAAUUGCAGAAUUCAGUGAAUCAUCGAAUCUUUGAACGCACAUUGCGCCCGCCAGUAUUCUGGCGGGCAUGCCUGUUCGAGCGUCAUUUCAACCCUCAGGCCCCCAGUGCCUGGUGUUGGGGAUCGGCCCAGCCUUCCUGUAAGGCCGCCGGCCCCGAAAUCUAGUGGCGGUCUCGCUGUAGUCCUCCUCUGCGUAGUAGCACAACCUCGCAGUUGGAACGCGGCGGUGGCCAUGCCGUUAAACACCCCACUUCUGAAAGUUGACCUCGGAUCAGGUAGGAAUACCCGCUGAACUUAAGCAUAUCAAUAAGCGGAGGA